rnacentral:ncRNA from 31 species
UCCGUAGGUGAACCUGCGGAAGGAUCAUUAC